GGGUUGUGAGGUUAAGCGACUAAGCGUACACGGUGGAUGCCCUGGCAGUCAGAGGCGAUGAAGGACGUGCUAAUCUGCGAUAAGCGUCGGUGAGGUGAUAUGAACCGUUAUAACCGGCGAUUUCCGAAUGGGGAAACCCAGUGUGUUUCGACACACUAUCAUUAACUGAAUCCAUAGGUUAAUGAGGCGAACCGGGGGAACUGAAACAUCUAAGUACCCCGAGGAAAAGAAAUCAACCGAGAUUCCCCCAGUAGCGGCGAGCGAACGGGGAGGAGCCCAGAGCCUGAAUCAGUGUGUGUGUUAGUGGAAGCGUCUGGAAAGGCGCGCGAUACAGGGUGACAGCCCCGUACACAAAAAUGCACACAUUGUGAGCUCGAUGAGUAGGGCGGGACACGUGGUAUCCUGUCUGAAUAUGGGGGGACCAUCCUCCAAGGCUAAAUACUCCUGACUGACCGAUAGUGAACCAGUACCGUGAGGGAAAGGCGAAAAGAACCCCGGCGAGGGGAGUGAAAAAGAACCUGAAACCGUGUACGUACAAGCAGUGGGAGCCUCUUAAUGGGGUGACUGCGUACCUUUUGUAUAAUGGGUCAGCGACUUAUAUUCUGUAGCAAGGUUAACCGAAUAGGGGAGCCGAAGGGAAACCGAGUCUUAACUGGGCGUUAAGUUGCAGGGUAUAGACCCGAAACCCGGUGAUCUAGCCAUGGGCAGGUUGAAGGUUGGGUAACACUAACUGGAGGACCGAACCGACUAAUGUUGAAAAAUUAGCGGAUGACUUGUGGCUGGGGGUGAAAGGCCAAUCAAACCGGGAGAUAGCUGGUUCUCCCCGAAAGCUAUUUAGGUAGCGCCUCGUGAAUUCAUCUCCGGGGGUAGAGCACUGUUUCGGCAAGGGGGUCAUCCCGACUUACCAACCCGAUGCAAACUGCGAAUACCGGAGAAUGUUAUCACGGGAGACACACGGCGGGUGCUAACGUCCGUCGUGAAGAGGGAAACAACCCAGACCGCCAGCUAAGGUCCCAAAGUCAUGGUUAAGUGGGAAACGAUGUGGGAAGGCCCAGACAGCCAGGAUGUUGGCUUAGAAGCAGCCAUCAUUUAAAGAAAGCGUAAUAGCUCACUGGUCGAGUCGGCCUGCGCGGAAGAUGUAACGGGGCUAAACCAUGCACCGAAGCUGCGGCAGCGACACUAUGUGUUGUUGGGUAGGGGAGCGUUCUGUAAGCCUGUGAAGGUGUGCUGUGAGGCAUGCUGGAGGUAUCAGAAGUGCGAAUGCUGACAUAAGUAACGAUAAAGCGGGUGAAAAGCCCGCUCGCCGGAAGACCAAGGGUUCCUGUCCAACGUUAAUCGGGGCAGGGUGAGUCGACCCCUAAGGCGAGGCCGAAAGGCGUAGUCGAUGGGAAACAGGUUAAUAUUCCUGUACUUGGUGUUACUGCGAAGGGGGGACGGAGAAGGCUAUGUUGGCCGGGCGACGGUUGUCCCGGUUUAAGCGUGUAGGCUGGUUUUCCAGGCAAAUCCGGAAAACCAAGGCUGAGGCGUGAUGACGAGGCACUACGGUGCUGAAGUGACAAAUGCCCUGCUUCCAGGAAAAGCCUCUAAGCAUCAGGUAACAUCAAAUCGUACCCCAAACCGACACAGGUGGUCAGGUAGAGAAUACCAAGGCGCUUGAGAGAACUCGGGUGAAGGAACUAGGCAAAAUGGUGCCGUAACUUCGGGAGAAGGCACGCUGAUAUGUAGGUGAAGCGACUUGCUCGUGGAGCUGAAAUCAGUCGAAGAUACCAGCUGGCUGCAACUGUUUAUUAAAAACACAGCACUGUGCAAACACGAAAGUGGACGUAUACGGUGUGACGCCUGCCCGGUGCCGGAAGGUUAAUUGAUGGGGUUAGCGGUAACGCGAAGCUCUUGAUCGAAGCCCCGGUAAACGGCGGCCGUAACUAUAACGGUCCUAAGGUAGCGAAAUUCCUUGUCGGGUAAGUUCCGACCUGCACGAAUGGCGUAAUGAUGGCCAGGCUGUCUCCACCCGAGACUCAGUGAAAUUGAACUCGCUGUGAAGAUGCAGUGUACCCGCGGCAAGACGGAAAGACCCCGUGAACCUUUACUAUAGCUUGACACUGAACAUUGAGCCUUGAUGUGUAGGAUAGGUGGGAGGCUUUGAAGUGUGGACGCCAGUCUGCAUGGAGCCGACCUUGAAAUACCACCCUU
rnacentral:rRNA from 1 species